GAUGUUUUUGGUCAAAGUUGGUGGAAACUUGAAGUUUGCAACCAAAGAUGAUGAUUUCGGUCAAAGUUGAUGUUUUUGGUCAAAGUUGGUGGAAACUGGAAGUUUGCAACCAAAGAUGAUGAUUUCGGUCAAAGUAGAUGUUUUUUGUCAAAGUUGGUGGGAAACUGGAAGUUUGCAACCAAAGAUGAUGAUUUCGGUCAAAGUAGAUGUUUUUGGUCAAAGUUGGUGGAAACUGGAAGUUUGCAACCAAAGAUGAUGAUUUCGGUCAAAGUUGAUGUUUUUGGUCAAAGUUGGUGGAAACUGGAAGUUUGCGAUUAAAGUUGAUGUUUGUGGUCAAAGUUGGUGGAAACUGGAAGUUUGCAACCAAAGAUGAUGAUUUCGGUCAAAGUAGAUGUUUUUUUUUCAAAGUUGGUGGAAACUUGAAGUUUGCAACCAAAGAUGAUGAUUUCGGUCAAAGUAGAUGUUUUUGGUCAAAGUUGGUGGAAACUGGAAGUUUGCAACCAAAGAUGAUGAUUUCGGUCAAAGUAGAUGUUUUUGGUCAAAGUUGGUGGAAACUCGAGGUUUGCGACCAAAAAUGAUGAUUUCGGUCAAAGUAGAUGUUUUUGGUCAAAGUUGGUGGAAACUCGAGGUUUGCAACCAAAGAUGAUGAUUUCGGUCAAAGUAGAUGUUUUUGGUCAAAGUUGGUGGAAACUGGAAGUUUGCGACCAAAGAUGAUGUUUUCGGUCAAAGUAGAUGUUUUUGGUCAAAGUUGGUGGAAAACUGGAAGUUUGCAACCAAAGAUGAUGUUUUCGGUCAAAGUUGAUGUUUUUUUGUCAAAGUUGGUGGAAACUGGAAGUUUGCAACCAAAGAUGAUGAUUUCGGUCAAAGUAGAUGUUUUUGGUCAAAGUUGGUGGAAACUGGAAGUUUGCAACCAAAGAUGAUGAUUUCGGUCAAAGUAGAUGUUUUUGGUCAAAGUUGGUGGAAACUGGAAGUUUGCAACCAAAGAUGAUGAUUUCGGUCAAAGUUGAUGUUUUUGGUCAAUGUUGGUGGAAACUGGAAGUUUGCGACCAAAGUUGAUGAUUUCGGUCAAAGUUGAUGUUUUUGGUCAAAGUUGGUGGAAACUGGAAGUUUGCAACCAAAGAUGAUGAUUUCGGUCAAAGUUGAUGUUUUUGGUCAAAGUUGGUGGAAACUCGAGGUUUGCAACCAAAGAUGAUGAUUUCGGUCAAAGUUGAUGUUUUUGGUCAAAGUUGGUGGAAACUGGAAGUUUGCAACCAAAGAUGAUGAUUUCGGUCAAAGUUGAUGUUUUUGGUCAAAGUUGGUGGAAACUGGAAGUUUGCAACCAAAGAUGAUGAUUUCGGUCAAAGUAGAUGUUUUUGGUCAAAGUUGGUGGAAACUGGAAGUUUGCAACCAAAGAUGAUGAUUUCGGUCAAAGUAGAUGUUUUUGGUCAAAGUUGGUGGAAACUGGAAGGUUGCAACCUAAGAUGAUGAUUUCGGUCAAAGUUGAUGUUUUUGGUCAAAGUUGGUGGAAACUCGAGGUUUGCGACCAAAGUUGAUGAUUUCGGUCAAAGUUGAUGUUUUUGGUCAAAGUUGGUGGAAACUGGAAGUUUGCAACCAAAGAUGAUGAUUUCGGUCAAAGUUGAUGUUUUUGGUCAAAGUUGGUGGAAACUCGAGGUUUGCGACCAAAGUUGAUGUUUUCGGUCAAAGUUGAUGUUUUUGGUCAAAGUUGGUGGAAACUCGAGGUUUGCGACCAAAUUUGAUGUUUUCGGUCAAAGUAGAUGUUUUUGGUCAAAGUUGGUGGAAACUGGAAGUUUGCAACCAAAGAUGAUGAUUUCGGUCAAAGUAGAUGUUUUUGGUCAAAGUUGGUGGAAACUGGAAGUUUGCAACCAAAGAUGAUGAUUUCGGUCAAAGUUGAUGUUUUUGGUCAAAAUUGGUGGAAAGUGGAAGUUUGCAACCAAAGAUGAUGAUUUCGGUCAAAGUUGAUGUUUUUGGUCAAAGUUGGUGGAAACUCGAGGUUUGCGACCAAAGUUGAUGUUUUCGGUCAAAGUUGAUGUUUUUGGUCAAAGUUGGUGGAAACUGGAAGCUUGCGACCAAAGUUGAUGAUUUCGGUCAAAGUAGAUGUUUUUGCUCAAAGUUGGUGGAAACUGGAAGUUUGCAACCAAAGACGAUGUUUUCGGUCAAAGUAGAUGUUUUUGGUCAAAGUUGGUGGAAACUGGAAGUUUGCAACCACAGAUGAUGAUUUCGGUCAAAGUAGAUGUUUUUGGUCAAAGUUGGUGGAAACUGGAAGUUUGCAACCAAAGAUGAUGAUUUCGGUCAAAGUUGAUGUUUUUGGUCAAAGUUGGUGGAAACUGGAAGUUUGCGACCAAAGAUGAUGUUUUCAGUCAAAGUAGAUGCUUCUGGUCAAAGUUGGUGGAAACUGGAAGUUUGCAACCAAAGAUGAUGAUUUCGGUCAAAGUAGAUGUUUUUGGUCAAAGUUGGUGGAAACUGGAAGUUUGCGACCAAAGUUGAUGUUUUCGGUCAAAGUAGAUGUUUUUGGUCAAAGUUGGUGGAAACUGGAAGUUUGCAACCAAAGAUGAUGAUUUCGGUCAAAGUAGAUGUUUUUGGUCAAAGUUGGUGGAAACUGGAAGUUUGCGACCAAAGAUGAUGUUUUCGGUCAAAGUAGAUGUUUUUGGUCAAAGUUGGUGGAAACUGGAAGUUUGCAACCAAAGAUGAUGAUUUCGGUCAAAGUAGAUGUUUUUGGUCAAAGUUGGUGGAAACUGGAAGUUUGCAACCAAAAAUGAUGAUUUCGGUCAAAGUAGAUGUUUUUGGUCAAAGUUGGUGGAAACUGGAAGUUUGCAACCAAAGAUGUUGAUUUCGGUCAAAGUAGAUGUUUUUGGUCAAAGUUGGUGGAAACUGGAAGUUUGCAACCAAAGAUGAUGAUUUCGGUCAAAGUUGAUGUUUUUGGUCAAAGUUGGUGGAAACUGGAAGUUUGCGACCAAAGAUGAUGUUUUCGGUGAAAGUUGAUGUUUUUUGUCAAAU